rnacentral:rRNA from 1 species
GUGGCGAACGGGUGAGUAACACGUGAGUAACCUGCCCUUAACUCUGGGAUAAGCCUGGGAAACUGGGUCUAAUACCGGAUAUGACUCCUCAUCGCAUGGUGGGGGGUGGAAAGCUUUUUUGUGGUUUUGGAUGGACUCGCGGCCUAUCAGCUUGUUGGUGAGGUAAUGGCUCACCAAGGCGACGACGGGUAGCCGGCCUGAGAGGGUGACCGGCCACACUGGGACUGAGACACGGCCCAGACUCCUACGGGAGGCAGCAGUGGGGAAUAUUGCACAAUGGGCGCAAGCCUGAUGCAGCGACGCCGCGUGAGGGAUGACGGCCUUCGGGUUGUAAACCUCUUUCAGUAGGGAAGAAGCGAAAGUGACGGUACCUGCAGAAGAAGCGCCGGCUAACUACGUGCCAGCAGCCGCGGUAAUACGUAGGGCGCAAGCGUUAUCCGGAAUUAUUGGGCGUAAAGAGCUCGUAGGCGGUUUGUCGCGUCUGCCGUGAAAGUCCGGGGCUCAACUCCGGAUCUGCGGUGGGUACGGGCAGACUAGAGUGAUGUAGGGGAGACUGGAAUUCCUGGUGUAGCGGUGAAAU